rnacentral:rRNA from 1 species
UACGUAGGUAGCAGGCGUUAUCCGGAUUUAUUGGGCGUAAAGAGAACGCAGGCGGUCUUUUAAGUCUGAUGUGAAAGCCUUCGGCUUAACCGGAGUAGUGCAUUGGAAACUGGGAGACUUGAGUGCAGAAGAGGAGAGUGGAACUCCAUGUGUAGCGGUGAAAUGCGUAGAUAUAUGGAAGAACACCAGUGGCGAAAGCGGCUCUCUGGUCUGUAACUGACGCUGAGGUUCGAAAGCGUGGGUAGCAAACAGG